rnacentral:lncRNA from 1 species
UAAUUGUUUGGGAAUGGUGGACGGUUGGGAAAUAUUGGCUAGAGAGACGGAAUUCCAUCUAAAACCAACGUGGUGACAGAGUCGGGUCGUGAUCCUGCGUGAGGGAUCCAUGAUCCCGUGCCCCUCAUCUCCUCUCCUUUCCCUUUUUUCUUCUCUUCCUGCUUGGUCAGUCUCAUCUCUUCCUCCUCAUUAAUUGGGCAACAAUCCUUAUUUUCUCUUCCCUCUUUCUUUUUUUGUUUCUUCCUCUUCCCCUCGACACACACCCACACACCCAAUGCAUAUAUUUCACUUUGUAAUAAUGAUAAUAAAAAACAUAGUGUAGAAAUAAUUAAAUUAAUAUUUCAUUCCAAAUACCUUCGGAUUCGUAACUCAAUAAAACCUUAAUUGUAACUCCAAAAUUACUUCCACAUGUGCCUGUGCGUCCAUAAGAUCGAGCUCUAUCCGAAUAUGUCAAUAAACAUGACAAAAUAUACAAGAAUCACAUACGUCCUUGAAAAAUCACGCUUUGCCCAGAGGGCAUUUCUGUCAUUUCAUGUAUUAAAAUUAUAAACCAUAAUUUUUAGGGAUGGGCUGUUACAAUCUACCAUCCUUAAAAUCAUUAGCUAAACGUAAUGUACUCCAGGAGAUAGGAAAAAGUAUAUAUAUAUAUACACACACACACACACACACACACACAUAUACAUACAUGAAAAGAGGAAAUCAACCUAGCGCGAUAGCAUAACAGGGAAUGUCAUUCUGUUGUGAUCUGAAUGUAAUUAUUCGUCUUUCAUGCUUUCAAGCUCAACCCUUCCUUCUCUUUAUAGGUAUAAUAAUGCUAUAUAAUAGAUGGUAAAAUGAUUUUCCUAAAAAAUAAUCAACACAAAAGACACCGCUUUCAUGGGCCUUAUGGUUUUACUUUCGGGGAAACUGAAGUAACUAAUAUACCCAAAAAGGCUCAACAGAUUCGUAAGCCCAAAUCUCUCUUUCAUAAAACAAAUAAAUAACUGUUGCACUUGUUUGGAAAGGUUGAUGCUCACUCAUGGGGUUUUGAUCACUGGCGCACACGCUUGCCAAAUUGAUUCAUUAUGAAUUCCCCAUUAAUCAAGCGUGAAAUCAUGUCGAUAAGGCUAACAUGACACCCAAGAAUUUGAGUGUCACGACAAGUUCAAGAAAUCUAGAGUACACGGUAUGUAAAUGAAUUAUGCAAUGUCAAUAUCUAAACAGUCUUCUUGGACAGCUUAUCAACCUCCUAAAUAACAUGAGGAAUAUACUAGUGACUUAAAAUCAACCCAAUUACCUUUAACAGCAUGAGGUAAACCAAGAGUACAACCAUAAUUGAUGCGGACUAAAAUAUUAAAAAGUCAAAAAAUUUCAAAAGUAAGAUAAUAAAACAAGAUGAAUUACGUCGGAGUGCUAAACAAUUCCGUUAUUACCUCAGACCAAGAAGUAGGAAGGUCGAAUUUAAGAAUGAACUGACAAGGUUUCUUGAUGAUCGAAAAGUAACAUCACAAAUUAUUAAAACUACCAGGGAUCAAAAGUAAUUUCCCCAAAAUGUUCUUAUGUCAAUUGCUACCACUUUAGAACUAUCGUUGCACAAGACAGCUCUAGAGUCUUGACAAGAAUAGACUUUGCAGGAAUUCUAAUAGAUGAUAUUCUAAUAGGUACUACCAAAAAUCAAAACUAGCUGAAAUUUCCAAUCUCAAAAGGAUCAAUACUAACGGCGGAAGAAUAAUGAUAGAAUUAUUUGGUAAGAAGUGAAACACGCCAUACGAUUAUAACCACUACUAAUUGGUACACCACCUGAGCGUAAUCUUGGUUCAACAUCACGAUUAUUGAUUUUCACGUUUUCUACACAUACAAAAUACCUCGAACUGAGAAGGUAUAAUGAUAUUUCCCAAUCCAUUCAUAUAAAAAAAUGAUUAUAACCAUUCGAAUUAUUUCUUGAUGGUUAACGGUAACUCCAUAUCGAUACUCGUAUUUUCCAACUAAAAUAGGAUAGGACCAGCUGAAAGUGUUCAAAAGUAAAUAUGUAAUUUGCGUACAACUAGAAGAUACACUAUAGUGCACUCAUAGCUACUGAUUAAAUUCUUUUACUGCCACUGUCUGAACUUAGUCCGUUCCAAAAGUGAAUGCAUUUAAGAAGUUCAAAUGUUGAUAAAGAAUUUGGACACGUUCUUCACAGAGAAAUGUUAUUCGAUUUCCAAGCAAAGAUAAUUGUUAACUUUCAAUCACGGAUAAAAUAGUUCAUUCCAAUUGGUUCUAUACAUUGGUACGACUACUAUGAAUUCAACAAGGUUUACGAGAAAACUUUGAGUUCCCAAAAGUUUGUUACAUAGACCACCAAUUUGAAAUAGGAUUCGUGCGAAAAGAUGCAAGAAAACUAAUGUAGUACAAAAAAUGGAACUAUGGUAUUCUCCCGGAUAUCGCCAAGGAGUCAAAACUAUUUUUGAUUUCUAUUCUCAAAAGGUUUAAUAAUGAUGGUUAACAAUAGUGAUGAGAUUGAUCCAUAAAUCCCUGGCUAUACACCAAUAAUGAUACCUGAACCCCACGUUAGGGCCAUCAACUAGUCUCAAUUCCACACCUUUCCUUGGCAGAAAAGUUCAUUGAUUAUAAUCUAGAGACACUCGCCAUAAUGAUCUUCUAAAGAUCGACGAGUCAUCAAAUAUGCCCAAAACUUAGGAACAACUAACAUAUUUUCCGUAUUCGACGAGGUGGCAAGAUUCAAACAUUAGACUCGAGAACCAAGAAUCCUCACAUCACACGUGUGAUGAACACAAUACUACCCAACUUAUGCUCUGAUACCAAGCUGACACACUUUGACUCAGAAUGUCCACUAGGGCUCCGAAUCGAGCUACGCUGGCUGACACCUGGAAGGUGACGAAGCCAUAAAGUGUAAUGAUAUGGAAAAAUGUGAAUAAAUUUAAACCUAAGAGUGCCUAAAUAUCAGAGUGCGCUAGUGAAUGGGAAGGAACCCACUUCACACGUGACAUUAGAGUAUAAGUAAGUACAGUAGAGUGGAUUAAGAAUCGUACCCUUGAAAAAAUCUCCAAUACUAAGAAUCGUCACGAAUCUUCUACGAUAAGAAAGCUCAACUAAUAAAACCUGGAGGGUGAAAACAAAAUAAGGGUGAGUGGCCCUAGAAUUGAAAUUUUAAUAGAAACCAUCGAAAGCAUUAUAACCCCUUGCUGCAACACCGGCAUAGUUUCCAGAAAAUCAUACCACGUAUCAAUGUGAAAUCAAAAGUAUAUCAACAAUAAACCAUAAAUAUACCAUAACAAAACAUCUCAUCAGCAAUAUCAAUAAUCAUCUGAUGAAUAACCCAUACUAGCACGCAAGUCGGAGUCACCUAUGGUAACCUGUACGACUGCACCCAUAUCUCAUCAAUCAAUGCUAACUCAUAAGUCGGGAGUCACCUCUAGUGACCUGUACGACUUAUACAUAUCUCAUCACAUAUGCUAGCCCAUAAGUCAGGAAUCACCUAUAGUGACCUAUACGACAUCACAUAUGCUAGCUCAUAAGUCGGGAGUCAUCUCUAGUGACCUGUACGACUUAUCCAUAUCUCAUCACAUAUGCUAGCUCAUAACUCGGGGUCACCUUUAGUGACCUGUACGACUUAUCCAUAUCUCAUCACAUAUGCUAGCUCAUAAGUCGAGAGUCACCUAUUAUGGCCUGUACGACAUCAAUUAUGCUAGCUCAUAAGUCGGGAGUCACCUCUAGUAACCUGUACGACUUAUCCAUAACUCAUCACAUAUGCUAGCUCAUAAGUCGGAAGUCACCUCUAGUGACCUGUACGACUUAUCCAUAUCUCUUGCUCAUAAGUCAGAAGUCACCUCUAGUGACCUGUACGACUUAACCAUAUCUCAUCACAUAUGCUAGCUCAUAAGUCGGAAGACACCUAUAGUGACCUGUACGACUUAUCCAUAUCUCAAUAAGUAUACCUGCACAUGAGUUGGAACCAUGUAAACUAGUCUGCACGACAGGACUUGGUGUAAAUAAAUACGCUCAAGUGCUACGAUCACGUGAAGGCUAUGCGAAUAAUCGGGUAUCACCUACGAGUCGGAACCACCUAUAGUGGUUUGUAUGACAGGAUUAUGCCCCUACCUUGGAUUCAACGUGAGCGUAAGGUGCGGGUGGUGAACAUCACAUGAAAGACUAUGCCCUGGCCAGGGUGGGAGCACUAACACCGGGGUGCAGGUUUAUGAACUCUCAAUGUAUCUCAACAUAACAUGUACGAUUCAUGGGCAACCCGUAUGACAAUGUCAGAGUUGCUUAAAACAUGCAUGUAGUCAUGCCAUAACUCCAUGAUUUCAACUAAUACCAUAAACUUACUUGAACUUACCUUGGUGUCAUGCGUUCACCUUUGCACUUCAAGCGUUCACAAUAAUUAUGUGUGGGUAAAAUACAUAUAGAUAAACCAUGAUGCAAUCUAAUACUCACCCAUGACAUAGCAUCAUCAAUUAUAUACAUAUAUAUUUAUGGCGUAAAAUGCACAAUCUAUAACGCCCUAUUCCCGAACUAUUUAUUUUUGGAAAUAAUUAUCGGUGAUAAGCCCCACUAAACCCUAAUUUAAUUAACCAACACUACUUACGUAUCCUUACUUCAAUUCCUUGAUUCCUCACAUCUUGAUUUAUGACCAACCUUUAAUCACUAAAAACAUAAGGUUAAAUCUCAUAUUUUCACCAAUUUCCUUCACAUUGCUCAAUUCCCAAACAAGGUUUUUGUUUCAAAUAUUGUAUGGCUGCAUCUAACGUCUCGUUAGACUACCUACGUACCCUAAACAGGGAUCAAGCCAUUCGUAGUUCACAUCAGUUCAUUUAAAGCAUUCACAUUAAUCAUAAGAAAUAAUCGAUUUAUAAACAUUUAUGGAAUUGUUUAUCGUGUAUAUAUAUAUUGAAUGAAGAUUUUGUGAAAACAUGUUCAUUUAAGCAACAUCUAUAAGCAUGCAAUUAACAAUUAAGGGCGGAAUCAUGCUUGCAUGCACUUAAAAACAAAACAUCAACCAAGAAAUUCAAAGCCUAGUAGAUUGGUGAACCAAGACUCAACUCAAAUCAAAGUAAGUUGAGAAAUAUACCUUUGUAGAUUCCUCUUUGCAUAAGCAAAGGCUAAUCACCCAAAGAGAGGGCCUU